rnacentral:rRNA from 1 species
UACGUAGGGUGCGAGCGUUGUCCGGAAUUACUGGGCGUAAAGGGCUCGUAGGCGGUUUGUCGCGUCGGGAGUGAAAUCCACUGGCUUAACUGGUGGCUUGCUUUCGAUACGGGCAGACUGGAGGUAUGCAGGGGGAGAACGGAAUUCCUGGUGUAGCGGUGAAAUGCGCAGAUAUCAGGAGGAACACCGUGGCGAAGGCGGUUCUCUGGGCAUGUCCUGACGCUGAGGAGCGAAAGUGUGGGGAGCGAACAGG